GGUUGGUCCAGUGCAGUGGUGUUUACAACUAAUGGGUCACAACCAGUUCCAGAUUUCUUUGUUGCUUUUCUACUCCAACUACUUCAGUUGAUUGGCCCAAA
rnacentral:Y_RNA from 1 species